AUGUAGUCAUAUGCUUGUCUCAAAGAUUAAGCCAUGCAAGUCUAAGUAUAAGCACCUAUACUGUGAAACUGCGAACGGCUCAUUAAAUCAGUUAUCGUUUAUUUGAUGGUACCUUACUACAUGGAUAACCGUGGUAAUUCUAGAGCUAAUACAUGCUGAAGGCCCCGACUUCGGGAGGGGUGUGUUUAUUAGAUAAAAGACCAACGCCCUUCGGGGCUCCUUGGUGAUUCAUGAUAACCUGACGGAUCGCAGGGCCUUGCGCCGGCGAUGGUUCAUUCAAAUUUCUGCCCUAUCAACUUUCGAUGGUAGGAUCGGGGCCUACCAUGGUAUCAACGGGUAACGGGGAAUUAGGGUUCGGUUCCGGAGAAUGAGCCUGAGAAACGGCUCAUACAUCCAAGGAAGGCAGCAGGCGCGCAAAUUACCCAAUCCCGACACGGGGAGGUAGUGACAAUAAAUACUGAUACAGGGCUCUUUUGGGUCUUGUAAUUGGAAUGAGUACAACUUAAACCCCUUAACGAGGAACAAUUGGAGGGCAAGUCUGGUGCCAGCAGCCGCGGUAAUUCCAGCUCCAAUAGCGUAUAUUAAAGUUGUUGCAGUUAAAAAGCUCGUAGUUGAACCUUGGGCCUGGCUGGCCGGUCCGCCUCACCGCGUGCACUGGUUCGGCCGGGCCUUUCCUUCUGGGGAGCCACAUGCCCUUCACUGGGCGUGCUGGGGAACCAGGACUUUUACUUUGAAAAAAUUAGAGUGUUCAAAGCAGGCCUUCGCUCGAAUACAUUAGCAUGGAAUAAUGGAAUAGGACGGCGGUCCUAUUUUGUUGGUUUCUAGAACCGCCGUAAUGAUUAAUAGGGAUAGUCGGGGGCGUCCGUAUUCAAUUGUCAGAGGUGAAAUUCUUGGAUUCAUUGAAGACGAACUACUGCGAAAGCAUUCGCCAAGGAUGUUUUCAUUAAUCAGGAACGAAAGUUAGGGGAUCGAAGACGAUCAGAUACCGUCGUAGUCUUAACCGUAAACCAUGCCGACUAGGGAUCGGGCGAUGUUAUUUGGUUGACUCGCCCGGCACCUUACGAGAAAUCAAAGUUUUUGGGUUCUGGGGGGAGUAUGGUCGCAAGGCUGAAACUUAAAGGAAUUGACGGAAGA
rnacentral:rRNA from 1 species